rnacentral:rRNA from 1 species
UACGAAGGGUGCAAACGUUGCUCGGAAUCAUUGGGCGUAAAGCGCACGUAGGCGGCCUGUUAAGUCGGAUGUGAAAUCCCUCGGCUCAACCGAGGACGUGCAUACGAAACUGGCAGGCUCGAGUAUGGAAGAGGGUCGCGGAAUUCCCGGUGUAGAGGUGAAAUUCGUAGAUAUCGGGAGGAACACCAGUGGCGAAGGCGGCGACCUGGGCCAAUACUGACGCUGAGGUGCGAAAGCGUGGGGAGCAAACAGGG